rnacentral:tRNA from 2 species
GACAAAAGCCGGGAUAGCU